rnacentral:lncRNA from 1 species
UUUGUUUAAAACUCAUUACAAGCCAAGAAGUGAAAACAAUGUUAUCACCCUAUUCAAAGGGUCGAAAAAGUCUUGUUUGGAGUUGUGUGAGGUUGAAUAAUUAUGUUUGUAAUAUUUCAGAAGUUGGCAGAAAAAGAAAAGAAAAAUAGAAAAAGAAAAUAUAAAAGAAAAAAAAUGAAUGGAAAAAAUAGAAGGAUGUCAAUACAUACUCCUUCUGAAAAAGAAAAAAGAAAAAAAAAAGAGAGAAAGGAGAAGAGAAAAUAGUUUCUAUAAAGUUGUUGUUGAAGUGAAUGAAAUAUUUUGUAAAUUGUACUCCCGCGGUUUCUUUCAAGUCUCUUUUGUCUCUUUGAAUUUUAGCCUAGUACCCCCUUAAG